GACGAACGCUGGCGGCGUGCUUAACACAUGCAAGUCGAGCGAUGAAGCACCUUCGGGUGUGAAUUAGCGGCGAACGGGUGAGGAAUACGUGAAGAAUCUGCCUUCAACUCUGGGAUAACUCCGGGAAACCGGGGCUAAUACCGGAUAUGAGCCUUGAUCGCAUGAUCGGGGCUGGAAAGUUUUUCGGUUGAAGAUGACUUCGCGGCCUAUCAGCUUGUUGGUGAGGUAAUGGCUCACCAAGGCGACGACGGGUAGCCUGCCUGAGAGGGCGACCGGCCACAGUGGGACUGAGACACGGCCCAGACUCCUACGGGAGGCAGCAGUGGGGAAUAUUGGGCAAUGGAGGAAACUCUGACCCAGCGACGCCGCGUGAGGGAUGAAGGCCUUCGGGUUGUAAACCUCUUUCAGUAGGGAAGAAGCGAAAGUGACGGUACCUACAGAAGAAGCACCGGCUAACUAUGUGCCAGCAGCCGCGGUAA
rnacentral:rRNA from 1 species